UACGGAGGGUGCGAGCGUUGUCCGGAAUCACUGGGCGUACAGGGCGCGUAGGCGGCGCGGAAAGUCGUCGGUGAAAGCUCGGGGCUCAACCCUGAGUCUGCCGGUGAUACUCCCGCGCUCGAGCUCACUAGAGGCAGAUGGAAUUCCGGGUGUAGCGGUGGAAUGCGUAGAGAUCCGGAAGAACACCGGUGGCGAAGGCGGUCUGCUGGGGUGAGGCUGACGCUGAUGCGCGACAGCGUGGGGAGCAAACAGG
rnacentral:rRNA from 1 species